rnacentral:lncRNA from 1 species
GGAACAGGGGCUGAUGAAGCUGGACUCCCAACCCCAGAGCUUUAGCCUUCUUCUCUGGAGGUCUCUGAGAUUAUCGUGUCCAUAUCCCAGUGGCCGAAUGUCCCAGAAGUUACAAAAAUGUACCAUAUGGGGCCCUGAUAAGUCUUCAGAUUUCGUCUUCUCAGGCCUCCCACCUCCUGCCUUCCUGGCCUAGAGAUCAGGAGCAGGCCACUGUCUCUACACUCAGCAAUGGCCAACCCUGAGGAAAGCCAGCAGAAACAUGGCUCCUAGAACAAGCUGUGAAUUUGUUUAAAAAUAAAGACUAUUCUGGGUGCAGCUGCC